rnacentral:misc_RNA from 1 species
UCGCCAGGCAGGUUUGGUGAAGCGAUUGGCAAAAUUGUCCUCUUCUUCAUCCUCAAGAAGAUUGUUAGACUUUUCCAAUCGCUUCACCAAACCUGCUUGGCGACAUAUUUGUGCAGCUAUUUCAUUAUGAGGAAGACCAGCUGCAGAAAACAGAGGUAUCUUCUGUCCUCUAGCGAUGGAAUUCAUAACAUCAAUUGUUGAAAUCCCAGUCUGUAUCAUUUCUUCAGGAUAG